rnacentral:rRNA from 1 species
GAUGAACGCUGGCGGCGUGCCUAAUACAUGCAAGUCGAGCGAACAGACGAGGAGCUUGCUCCUCUGACGUUAGCGGCGGACGGGUGAGUAACACGUGGAUAACCUACCUAUAAGACUGGGAUAACUUCGGGAAACCGGGGCUAAUACCGGAUAAUAUAUUGAACCGCAUGGUUCAAUAGUGAAAGACGGUUUUGCUGUCACUUAUAGAUGGAUCCGCGCCGCAUUAGCUAGUUGGUAAGGUAACGGCUUACCAAGGCAACGAUGCGUAGCCGACCUGAGAGGGUGAUCGGCCACACUGGAACUGAGACACGGUCCAGACUCCUACGGGAGGCAGCAGUAGGGAAUCUUCCGCAAUGGGCGAAAGCCUGACGGAGCAACGCCGCGUGAGUGAUGAAGGUCUUCGGAUCGUAAAACUCUGUUAUUAGGGAAGAACAAAUGUGUAAGUAACUAUGCACGUCUUGACGGUACCUAAUCAGAAAGCCACGGCUAACUACG